rnacentral:sRNA from 2 species
GGGCAGCGUGCUUAGGGUUCCGUUCGCCACGGCGAAGCCUGGUCCGAGAAGCACAACCUGCCCGGCAAAUUCCGGGCGGGCACACGGCGGGCCAAAAUCCCGGGAGAU